GCCGCACGCACGCACGCCCGCACUCCCACGGGAGACGGCUUGGCUCCCAGCGCUCUUAAUCACGCCGCGGCGGGUGGUCGCGCUCACAUUAACUGGAGCUAUCCAGGGCGCGGGUCGAGUGGCGAGACCAGGAUCUUUGUGCAGUCGGCUGGCUGGGGCCUGAAGAGCUUCCUCCUGUGUGUUCAACUGAACGCAGCAAAAGUCUUGGGCAGAUUCCAUGGAGCAGCUGUGGAAGCACUGUGCAGGGAAUCAAAGAAGGAAACACCUCCAGCGACCACAAAACAAAAUUGAAGAACUAUAAAACAAUAUAGGCCGGGCAUGGUGGCUCACAGCUUUGCUUGGUCAUCGUGUUCUGAGUGGUCCAUUGGCCUCCAUGUCCCUUUUGGGGUGGAUAUUUGCUCAGUGACUUUUGAGCAGCUGGAUCUCCUGCUGCGGCAGGUGAGUGAGGGGAUGGAUGGCUCCGCGGACUGGCCCCCGCCCCAGGAGAAAGAGUGCGUGGCCGUGGCAACGCUGAAUCUUCCCCGACUUCAGUUGCAUGCUGCCAUUAGUCACCAGGUUGACCUGGAAUUCCUUGGUUUAGGUCUGGGCAGCGUCUUCCUGAACAGCCUGAAGCAGACGGUGGUGACCCUAGCAAGCAGCGCAGACGUGCUGAGCACCAUGCAGUCGGCCUCCCAGGCCAUGCUGCAGAGCGGCUGGUCCAUGCUGUUGCCCACCGCUGAGAAGCAGGCCCGGGCACUCUGCUCUCCUGCCCUGCGGAGUUUCAGGCAAUGAAGUGAACAUAAGUCCAGGUCAUCGAUUGGUGAUUGAUCUUCUGGUGGGCAGCUUGAUGGCUGAUGGAGGGUUGGAGUCAGCCUUACAUGCAGCCAGUACUGCAGAGAUCCAGGAUACAAAAAAAGAAGCACAGAAGGAAAAAGAAAUUGAUGAACAGGAAGCGAAUGCCUCAACAUUUCAUAGAAGGAGGACUCCAUUGGAUAAAGACCUUAUUAGUAUGGGGAUCUGUGAGUCUUCUGGCAAACAGUGUUUGCCUCUGGUUCAGCUCAUACAACAGCUUCUUAGGUAAAUCAUAUUAGCUGUAUUGUAUUGUGUUUUAUUUAUUUACUUUUUUUUUUUUUUUUGAGACAGAGUUUCGCUCUUGUUGCCCAGGCCGGAGUGCAGUGGUGCGAUCUUGACUCACUGCAACCUCCGCCUCCCAGGUUCAAGUAAUUCCUCUGCCUCAGCCUCUCGAGCAGCUGGGAUUACACGCAUGCACCACCAUGCCCCACUAAUUUUGUAGUUUUAUUAGAGACGGGGUUUCUUCAUGUUGGUCAGGCCGGUCUUGAACUCCCGACCUCAGGUGGUCCAUCCACUUUGGCCUCCCAAAAUGUUGGGAUUACAGGCAUUAGCCACCACGCCUGGCCUAUUUAUUUACUUAUUAAUGGUGUUUUUUUUGUGUGUGUGUGUUUUUUUGAGAUGGAGUCUUGCUCUAUCGUCCAGGCUGGAGUGCAGUGUCACGAUCUUGGCUCACUGCAACCCCCGCCUCCUGGGUUCAAGCUAUUCUCCUGCCUCAGCCUCCCGAGUAGCUGGGACUACAGGCGUCUGCAACCACACCUGGCUGAUUUUUGUAUUUUUAGUAGAGAUGGGGUUUGACCAUAUUCGUCAGGCUGGUCUCAAAUUCCUGACGUUAGGUGACCCACCUGCCUUGGCCUCUCAAAAUGUUGGGAUUACAGGUGUUAGCCACUGUGCCUGGCCUGUAUUGUAUUUUAAUAGGUGAUUAUUGGUUUUCAUAUUAAGAUAGUGAAAUCUAGCACAAGGAUCUCAAAAAUUUGUUUGGUGAUUGAAGGAAUAUUCUGAAAAUUACCUAGUAUAGAUGUUAGGAUAAAGAGCAGACCCUUCUCAAUAUAGGUGAGAGGAGAAGUUGGAGGGUAUGAUGAUACUCAGAAGUUUUUCACAGAAGAGAAAUUGGGGUGUGCAGUAAACAUGUAAAAAGAUUCUUACUAAUAAGCAGGUGGAUGCAAAUGAAAAUCAUCAUGGAAGGUUAUUUUUAAAACUGAUUGUAUCAUUGCCUCACUUUAUAUAUUACAGAGUUAUACAUACUACUUUGUAAGAUAACUUUUCUUUUCAAAACUGAAGUCAAUGUGAUAGAAUGGUGAGCAUUAUUUUGGAAGGCCCGACUAGGAGGAGGUGGGAAGAAGUGAGACUCAGCCUGUGAACAGAGGCUAACCUUGGCAGAAGCCAAAACGGUCAGACAGUGUUGUCUAAAAAUGAUCAUUCAAGAAGAGCGAAACAGCAAGGUGAUUUGUGAAGGAGAUUUAUUAGGAAAUGAAACACAUUUAUACCUCUGUUCAAUAAAAAUCUGCUUUUUGUCAA